rnacentral:rRNA from 1 species
ACUCCUACGGGAGGCAGCAGUGGGGAAUUUUGGACAAUGGGCGAAAGCCUGAUCCAGCAAUGCCGCGUGUGUGAAGAAGGCCUUCGGGUUGUAAAGCACUUUUGUCCGGAAAGAAAUCCUUGGCUCUAAUACAGUCGGGGGAUGACGGUACCGGAAGAAUAAGCACCGGCUAACUACGUGCCAGCAGCCGCGGUAAUACGUAGGGUGCGAGCGUUAAUCGGAAUUACUGGGCGUAAAGCGUGCGCAGGCGGUUUGCUAAGACCGAUGUGAAAUCCCCGGGCUCAACCUGGGAACUGCAUUGGUGACUGGCAGGCUAGAGUAUGGCAGAGGGGGGUAGAAUUCCACGUGUAGCAGUGAAAUGCGUAGAGAUGUGGAGGAAUACCGAUGGCGAAGGCAGCCCCCUGGGCCAAUACUGACGCUCAUGCACGAAAGCGUGGGGAGCAAACAGGAUUAGAAACCCUUGUAGUCCCA